rnacentral:rRNA from 1 species
UACAGAGGUCCCAAGCGUUGUUCGGAUUUACUGGGCGUAAAGGGUGCGUAGGUGGUCGGGUAAGUCUCAUGUGAAAUCUCCAAGCUUAACUUGGAAAUGGCAUGGGAUACUAUUCGGCUAGAGGAUUGGAGGGGGGACUGGAAUUCCCGGUGUAGCAGUGAAAUGCGUAGAUAUCGGGAGGAACACCAGUGGCGAAGGCGACUACCUGGCCUGUUCUUGACGCUGAGGCGCGAAAGCUAGGGGAGCAAACGGG